UCUCCUGUAGCUCAGAGGUAGAGCGUCCCGCCAGUGACAUGCGGAAGGCCAUAGGUUCGACUCCUGUUGAGAGAA